GACGAACGCUGGCGGCGUGCUUAACACAUGCAAGUCGAACGAAGUGGGGAACGGGUGAGUAACGCGUAAUCAACCUGCCCUUGAGAGGGGGACAACAGUUGGGAACGACUGCUAAUACCGCCUACUGAAGGUGGGGAGUUCGUCUGAUUAGCUAGUUGGAGGGGUAACGGCCCUCCCAGGCGAAGGUUAGUAGCCGGGUUGAGAGGAUGGACGGCCAAACUGGGAAUGGGACACGGGCCCAACCCCCAAGGGAGGCAGCCGUGGGGAAACUUUCGCAAUUGGCGAAAGUCUGGCGGAGGAACGCCGCGUGAGGGAUGACGGCCUUCGGGUUUGAAAGCUCUGUUAAGCGGGAAGCGUUACCGGAAGAGAAAGCAACGGCUAACUCCGUGCCAGCAGCCGCGGUAAUAC
rnacentral:rRNA from 1 species